GACGAACGCUGGCGGCGUGCUUAACACAUGCAAGUCGAACGGAAAGGCCCUGCUUUUGUGGGGUGCUCGAGUGGCGAGCGGGUGAGUAACACGUGAGUCACCUGCCCUUGACUUUGGAAUAACUUCAGGAAACUGCGGCUAAUACCGGAUAGGAGCUCCUGCUGCAUGGGGGGGGUUGGAAAGCAUCGGCGGUUGGGGAUGGACUCCCGGCUUAUUAGCUUGUUGGUGGGGUAGUGGCUUACCAAGGCUUUGACGGGUAGCCGGCCUGGGAGGGUGACCGGCCACAUGGGGACUGAGAGACGGCCCAGACUCCUACGGGAGGCAGCAGUGGGGAAUAUUGCACAAUGGGCGGAAGCCUGAUGCAGCAACGCCGCGUGCGGGAUGACGGCCUUCGGGUUGUAAACCGCUUUCGCCUGUGACGAAGCGUGAGUGACGGUAAUGGGUAAAGAAGCACCGGCUAACUACGUG
rnacentral:rRNA from 1 species